UCUAAUCAAUAUUAUCAAACCCUUUAUCAAUGUAGACAUAUGAUUUUCACUAUGUUAUCAGACUCAUAAAUUUUAAUUUCUGAGGGUUAUCGAUCCUUUCCUGUGAUUUCUUCACCAUCACCACCAUUAUUUCUCCACCACCACCACCACCGCCACAUCAUUAUUUCUUCAUCUUCUUAACCACAAUCAUCAAAUCUCUUCAUCACCUUCUGUUGUUGCUGAAAUUAGAGAGUUGAAUUAUGUUUUCAAAGAUAAAUCAUCACAAACUUGUUCUCAAUUUUGCUCCGAUCUCUUAUCUUACAAAACAAAUUUCUCAAUCUGCGAUUUCUGGUUCUGAAUCAACAGUUAGUAAUCAUCUUCAUCUCCUUCUACUUAAUGGUGUUUUUUGGUAGAAAUUAGGGUUUCUUUUCGAUAUGAUACUUCUACAACAACACAAUCAAGCAUGCUUCUCAGAUCUGUAUUUUGCUUUGUCUAGUUGACUGGUAAAUCGAAAAUUUGUUGGUAAUCUCGAUUUAAAAUUUUUAGAUUACUUCAUAUCUGAUUUUCAUGUGUUCAAUUCCUAAUCAAUUCAUCUUCCAAAAUUAAAUUUCAUCUUCAUCUUAGUUUCUCGUCAUCAAUUAGUUAUGUCGAUGCUUCCUAAGGGGUUAGAGGAAGCAUUAUAUGUUUAUUUUGAAUUGACGAUCACUGCUGCUGAAAAUUGGUAAAUGUUAUGUUGUUCGUGUUAGUUUCUAUUACGAAAGAGAUAGGGGAACUUCCUUAAAUUGAUCAGUUGAACAUCCUAGGCCUCUGUUGCUGAAUUCUGCUGCACUUUGGAUGCUUAAAUUGCUUUAUUCAGUUUCAUUCAUGCUCUUUACUUCAUCUCCGUACUCACCGAUUAGAUGGUGUUGAUUUCUUCCGCGCGUGUGAGAUGAUAGAGCUAAGUAUGAAGUUUUGAAGUUGAGUUUUGAUUAUGGAUAUAAUCUACGGGUUUUGAUUAUGGAUUAGAGUUGUGUUUGUAUGCAACCUGUUGCUAAGCUUGCAUAUGGUGAAAUAUGCAACCUGUGGUUCUUCUCUCUUAUUGCUGUUAAGUUUCUAUCUUCCUUCUAUUUUGGAAGAAUUUGAAUAAUCCAAGGUGCCUCAAUAAGUCCUUGUGUGCUAAAUAAAACAAGCAGUUUCCAUGCUUCUUACUCACUCUUGCUGUUAUGUUUCGAAUAAUGCUUUCAUUAGUACUUUGAAUAAUAUUGAGAAGAUCUCCCUGAGCAUUUAUACUGGCAAGCUAAUUUCUUACAUGUUGAUGCUUAUAUUGGCAAGAACAGACACGUUUAUAUAGUUGGUGAUUGCUAGAGAUUGCGCAGUAUGUUGGAAUUGGUAUUUUACUUCAUGAUAUUUUGAUGCCGCUGCACUAUCAUCUGCUGUGUCAAUGAUUACUUCCUACAUGUUAUUGGUGCUCUUAGUAGAUAGUUGGAUUCCCAUCCGUUGUGACUACAAGUGUUGCUGCUUUGCUACAAGUGAUACUUCUUAUAUUUCCUAUUAUUCUUGUCAUGCAUCAACUGUUGUUGUCUGCAACUCUGUGCUACAUUAGUUCAGCUGGUUGGCUAUGCCAUUUUGUUAUAAUUGGUUUGUUAUGCACUGUUACCCCUAUUUCUCUGACGGCAUUCUAGGUCAUGGUACUGUUUUGGUUUCACUUUUAUCCACAAUUGUCGUUUUCAUCUGCAAGACUUCUGUAAGAGAAACAUAUAUUGUUAUUCCUAUAUGUUGCUGUAUUCCCUACACUGCCAAAUACCUAUGUCUGCGCCUGCUAUUCUAUUCUGCUGUUUUUUUUUUUGUAUCCAUACUUAGAUGCUACUGCUGACUAUGAUACUAUAUACUUGCGGUACUUCCUUAAGUCCAUGGUCUUUAUUGGAGAUGCUUUCUUGCUUGAGAGGAUUUUAAGUUCUUCAACUGCAGAGACUUUUUGAGUUAGUGUUUUGCAGAGUGUAUGCCGCUUCUCAUUUCCUACAGACCAACUACUACUGCAACACCGACUUACUGCCAGCAUGCAAUGCCUACUAAUCUUGGUAUGACCACUCACAAGCUGCAACAACUUUGUACACUUUCAUUGUCAAGUGACUAUAUGGCUUGUCAUGUGUGCAAGCUCAAUGUCCAUUUGCAAGUCACCUUGACCUUGAGGGGGGAUAAUAGUGUGGGUGACUGUAUGGCUUGUCCUGUGUGAGUGUAAGAGUCAUUGUAUGUGCCAUGAGCACGUGUGAGGUGUGAGAGUGAAUGAGAGUCUGUGAAUGAGUCGAGUGUAUAUACUCAGGUCCCCUGUAACAGACAUCUAGCCUUUUCUAAUCAAUAUAGUCACCUUGACCUUGAGGGGGGAUAAUAGUGUGGGUGACUGUAUGGCUUGUCCUGUGUGAGUGUAAGAGUCAUUGUAUGUGCCAUGAGCACGUGUGAGGUGUGAGAGUGAAUGAGAGUCUGUGAAUGAGUCGAGUGUAUAUACUCAGGUCCCCUGUAACAGACAUCUAGCCUUUUCUAAUCAAUAUAGUCACCUUGACCUUGAGGGGGGAUAAUAGUGUGGGUGACUGUAUGGCUUGUCCUGUGUGAGUGUAAGAGUCAUUGUAUGUGCCAUGAGCACGUGUGAGGUGUGAGAGUGAAUGAGAGUCUGUGAAUGAGUCCAGUGUAUAUACUCAGGUCCCCUGUAACAGACAUCUAGCCUUUUCUAAUCAAUAUAGUCACCUUGACCUUGAGGGGGGAUAAUAGUGUGGGUGACUGUAUGGCUUGUCCUGUGUGAGUGUAAGAGUCGUUGUAUGUGCCAUGAGCACGUGUGAGGUGUGAGAGUGAAUGAGAGUCUGUGAAUGAGUCCAGUGUAUAUACUCAGGUCCCCUGUAACAGACAUCUAGCCUUUUCUAAUCAAUAUAGUCACCUUGACCUUGAGGGGGGAUAAUAGUGUGGGUGACUGUAUGGCUUGUCCUGUGUGAGUGUAAGAGUCGUUGUAUGUGCCAUGAGCACGUGUGAGGUGUGAGAGUGAAUGAGAGUCUGUGAAUGAGUCGAGUGUAUAUACUCAGGUCCCCUGUAACAGACAUCUAGCCUUUUCUAAUCAAUAUAGUCACCUUGACCUUGAGGGGGAUAAUAGUGUGGGUGACUGUAUGGCUUGUCCUGUGUGAGUGUAAGAGUCAUUGUAUGUGCCAUGAGCACGUGUGAGGUGUGAGAGUGAAUGAGAGUCUGUGAAUGAGUCGAGCAUAUGUACUCAGGUCCCCUGUAACAGACAUCUAGCCUUUUCUAAUCAAUAUUAUCAAACCCUUCAUCAAUG